rnacentral:tRNA from 1 species
GCGGGUGUAGCUCAAUGGUAGAGUCCUAGCCUUCCAAGCUAGCUGUGAGGGUUCAAUUCCCUUCACCCGCUCCA